rnacentral:rRNA from 2 species
UUUAUACUGUGAAACUGCGAAUGGGUCAUUAAAUCAGUUAUCGUUUAUUUGAUAGUACCUUACUACAUGGAUACCUGUGGAAAUUCUAGAGCUAAUACAUGCUAAAAACCCCGACUUCAGGAAGGGGUGUAUUUAUUAGAAAAAAAACCUGGGGACUGCGGGGCUCCUUGGUGAAUCUUAAUAACUUAACGAAUCUCAUGGCCUUGCGCCGGCGAUGGUUCAUUCCGAUUUCUGCCCUAUCACCUUUCGAUGGUACGAUAGAGGCCUACCAUGGUGGCAACGGUCCUAUUCUAAAUUUCCGUGCGAUUGCGGACAAGGAGCCGGAUGAACGGAUACCUCAUCCUUUUUCGGAAGAAAGCGCCCGGAUUACCCCAUCCCCAUACGGGGACGUGAGGAUCCCCAUACUGAUACGGGGCUCUUUUGGGUCUCGUAAUUGGAAUGAGAACAAUUUAAAUCCCUUAACGAGGAACAAUUGGAGGGCAAGUCUGGUGCCAGCAGCCGCGGUAAUUCCAGCUCCAAUAGCGUAUAUUAAAGUUGUUGCAGUUAAAAAGCUCGUAGUUGAACCUUGGGUCUGGCUGGCCGGUCCGCCUCACCGCGAGUACUGUCCGGCUGGACCUUUCCUUCUGGGGAACCUCAUGGCCUUCACUGGCUGUGGGGGGAACCAGGACUUUUACUGUGAAAAAAUUAGAGUGUUCAAAGCAGGCCUUUGCUCGAAUACAUUAGCAUGGAAUAAUAGAAUAGGACGUGCGGUUCUAUUUUGUUGGUUUCUAGGACCGCCGUAAUGAUUAAUAGGGAUAGUCGGGGGCGUCAGUAUUCAGCUGUCAGAGGUGAAAUUCUUGGAUUUGCUGAAGACUAACUACUGCGAAAGCAUUCGCCAAGGAUGUUUUCAUUAAUCAGGGAACGAAAGUUAGGGGAUCGAAGACGAUCAGAUACCGUCGUAGUCUUAACCAUAAACUAUGCCGACUAGGGAUCGGACGGGAUUCUAUGAUGACCCGUUCGGCACCUUACGAGAAAUCAAAGUUUUUGGGUU